rnacentral:rRNA from 1 species
UACGAAGGGGGCUAGCGUUGUUCGGAUUUACUGGGCGUAAAGGGUACGCAGGCGGCCUAUCAAGUCAGGGGUGAAAUCCCGGGGCUCAACCCCGGAACUGCCUUUGAAACUGGUAGGCUAGAGUAUGAGAGAGGUGAGUGGAAUUCCUAGUGUAGAGGUGAAAUUCGUAGAUAUUAGGAGGAACACCGGUGGCGAAGGCGGCUCACUGGCUCAUAACUGACGCUCAGGUACGAAAGCGUGGGGAGCAAACAGG